CGGAAAAGUGAUGAAAAGGGAAUCAGGUGUAAAUCCUGAACAGACCCGCUGCUGUAAGCUCUACUAAAAUCUUUGAACAAUACUCAAGCCACUGUUCAACAAUGAAUGGGAAGGACGAUUCAAAGAUGGAGUAAGUCAGAAGACCUGCCAAGAUUAUUAU
rnacentral:ncRNA from 1 species